UAUAAGAACACUCAGAUCUGCAUUUUUGCUUGUCCUACCUUGCUCUUCAUCAUGUUGAUCGCUGCCCACGAUGAGGAUCCAUGGCAGAAUGAAUGCUUUUCUGAAACACAACAUCAGCAAUGCGAAAUCAAGGAAGCCAGUCCUUGCAUGACAGCUACAUUCCUUUCCAGACAAGCUCUCCUCUGGCAAGUAAAACUUCUGUUUCUCCCAGCUUCAAUGAAUGGCUGGAGUCCAGGCUCAUGAAAGUCGUUUAAAAAUAACUUCACAGCUCCAAAUGGUGCCUCACAUCAAGAAUUUUUCACCUUGUUCAUGGAAAAUAUUCACAUAGAGCCUCCACUUGCAGUUCUCUCUCCCUCCUCUGUCUCCAGAAAAGCCACCAAGAAAAGAAAAAACUGUUCCUGCAGCGUCCCGGCA